rnacentral:rRNA from 1 species
CCUACGGGGCGCAGCAGUGAGGAAUAUUGGUCAAUGGACGAGAGUCUGAACCAGCCAAGUAGCGUGAAGGAUGACUGCCCUAUGGGUUGUAAACUUCUUUUAUAUGGGAAUAAAAUGUUCCACGUGUGGGAUUUUGUAUGUACCAUAUGAAUAAGGAUCGGCUAACUCCGUGCCAGCAGCCGCGGUAAUACGGAGGAUCCGAGCGUUAUCCGGAUUUAUUGGGUUUAAAGGGAGCGUAGGUGGAUUGUUAAGUCAGUUGUGAAAGUUUGUGGCUCAACCGUAAAAUUGCAGUUGAAACUGGCAGUCUUGAGUACAGUAGAGGUGGGCGGAAUUCGUGGUGUAGCGGUGAAAUGCUUAGAUAUCACGAAGAACUCCGAUUGCGAAGGCAGUUCACUGGACUGCAACUGACACUGAGGCUCGAAAGUGUGGGUAUCAAACAGGAUUAGAUACCCGAGUAGUC